UCCUACGGGGCGCAGCAGUGGGGAAUAUUGGGCAAUGGGCGCAAGCCUGACCCAGCAACGCCGCGUGAGUGAAGAAGUAUUUCGGUAUGUAAAGCUCUAUCAGCAGGGAAGAAAGGAAUGACGGUACCUGACUAAGAAGCCCCGGCUAACUACGUGCCAGCAGCCGCGGUAAUACGUAGGGGGCAAGCGUUAUCCGGAUUUACUGGGUGUAAAGGGAGCGUAGACGGUUACGCAAGUCUGGAGUGAAAGGAGGGGGCCCAACCCCCGGACUGCUUUGGAAACUGAAUAACUGGAGUGCAGGAGAG
rnacentral:rRNA from 1 species